rnacentral:misc_RNA from 1 species
CCAAUAGCGUAUAUUAAAGUUGUUGCAGUUAAAAAGCUCGUAGUUGAACUUCGGGGUUUACCCAUUGGUCAGGCUUAAUUGUCUGUACUGGUGAGAUAAAUCUCUACCUUCUGAGGAACUUUCAUGUCAUUAUUUUGGUGUGAUUGGAAAUCAGGACUGUUACUUUGAAAAAAUUAGAGUGUUUAAAGCAGGCUAACGUCUGAAUACAUUAGAAGGGAAUAAUGAAAUAGGACGGAUUAAUUCUAUUUCGUUGGUUUCUAGGAUCACCGUAAUGAUUAAUAGGGAUAGUUGGGGUCAUUAGUAUUCAAUUGUCAGAGGUCAAAUUCUUGGAUUUAUUGAAGACUAACUACUGCGAAAGCAUUUGCCAAGGAUGUUUUCAUUAAUCAAGAACGAAAGUUAGGGGAUCGAAGACGAUCAGAUACCGUCGUAGUCUUAACCAUAAACUAUGCCGACUAGGGAUCGGACGAAGUUAAUUUUAUAAUGACGCGUUCGGCACCUUACG